CGUAAGUGGCGAGCGUUAUCCGGAAUUACUGGGCGUAAAGCGUGCGUAGGCGGUUUAGUGUGUGGGAAUUGAAAGCCCGGGGCUCAACUCCGGAUCCGGUUCCCAAACUGCUAGACUCGAGAGUAUCAGAGGAGAGCGGAAUUCCCGGUGUAGCGGUAAUAUGCGUAGAUAUCGGGAGGAACACCAGUGGCGAAGGCGGCUCUCUGGGGUAUUUCUGACGCUGAGGCACGAAAGCCAGGGGAGCGAACGGGAUUAGAUACCCCGGUAGUCCUGGCCUUAAACGAUGAUCACUAGGUGUAGGAGGCUUCGACCCCUUCUGCGCCGCCGCUAACGCAUUAAGUGAUCCGCCUGGGGAGUACGGCCGUAAGGUUA
rnacentral:rRNA from 1 species